CUGAGUACCUACACUCUCUACCCUUUGUGAACUAUUAUACCUGUUGCUUCGGCGGCGCCCGCGAGGGUGCCCGCCGGUCUCAUCAGAAUCUCUGUUUUCGAACCCGACGAUACUUCUGAGUGUUCUUAGCGAACUGUCA
rnacentral:misc_RNA from 1 species